rnacentral:rRNA from 1 species
GACGAACGCUGGCGGCGUGCUUAACACAUGCAAGUCGAACGGAAAGGCCCUGCUUUUGUGGGGUGCUCGAGUGGCGAACGGGUGAGUAACACGUGAGUAACCUGCCCUUGACUUUGGGAUAACUUCAGGAAACUGGGGCUAAUACCGGAUAGGAGCUCCUGCUGCAUGGUGGGGGUUGGAAAGUUUCGGCGGUUGGGGUUGGACUCGCGGGUUAUCAGCUUGUUGGUGGGGUAGUGGCUUACCAAGGCUUUGACGGGUAGCCGGCCUGUGAGGGUGACCGGCCACAUUGGUACUGAGAUACGGCCCAGUCUCCUACGGGGGGCAGCAGUGGGGAAUAUUGCACAAUGGGCGGAAGCCUGAUGCAGCAACGCCGCGUGCGGGAUGACGGCCUUCGGGUUGUAAACCGCUUUCGCCUGUGACGAAGCGUGAGUGACGGUAAUGGGUAAAGAAGCACCGGCUAACUACGUG